rnacentral:rRNA from 1 species
GAUGAACGCUAGCGAUAGGCUUAACACAUGCAAGUCGAGGGGCAGCACAAGGUAGCUUGCUAUCUGGGUGGCGACCGGCGCACGGGUGCGUAACGCGUAUGCAACUUGCCCUAUACAGGAGGAUAACCCGUCGAAAGACGGACUAAUACUGCGUAUGCUCACAACUUGGCAUCAAGUGGUGAGGAAAGAAAUUCGGUAUAGGAUAGGCAUGCGUCCCAUUAGCUUGUUGGUGAGGUAACGGCUCACCAAGGCAACGAUGGGUAGGGGAACUGAGAGGUUUAUCCCCCACACUGGUACUGAGACACGGACCAGACGACUACGGGAGGCAGCAGUGAGGAAGAUUGGGCAAUGGGCGCGAGCCUGAACCAGCCAAGUCGCGUGAAGGAUGACUGUCUUAUGGAUUGUAAACUUCUUUUAGACGGGAAUAACAAGAGUCACGUGUGACUCCCUGCAUGUACCGUAUGAAUAAGCAUCGGCUAACUCCGUG